UAUGCCCUAAAGAUGAGAGAAUGUGUGUAAUCUUGAAGAGACAAUGUCGAUAUGAACAUAAUUAACAAUGUUGUUUUCAAAUUUUAUUUGGAAAAGUUUUCUGUUGAGACUAGAAGCUAUUAUUCGGAGAUGACGACAUAUUUAGUGUAUAAAUGUCGUUAUUACUUAUUAGUUUCUGGUCAAAAAAGGAAAAUGUCGUUAUUACUUAUUAGUUACUGGUAAAAAAAUGGAAAAGAAAUAGCAUAACUUAGGCGUGUUGUAAUUAAACUUAACGAUUUAGAACUGUAAGUAUCUGUAUAUUAUUAAUGAAUAA
rnacentral:lncRNA from 1 species